AUUGAACGCUGGCGGCAGGCCUAACACAUGCAAGUCGAACGGUAACAGGAAGCAGCUUGCUGCUUUGCUGACGAGUGGCGGACGGGUGAGUAAUGUCUGGGAAACUGCCCGAUGGAGGGGGAUAACUACUGGAAACGGUAGCUAAUACCGCAUAACGUCGCAAGACCAAAGAGGGGGACCUUAGGGCCUCUUGCCAUCGGAUGUGACCAGAUGGGAUUAGCUAGUAGGUGGGGUAACGGCUCACCUAGGCGACGAUCCCUAGCUGGUCUGAGAGGAUGACCAGCCACACUGGAACUGAGACACGGUCCAGACUCCUACGGGAGGCAGCAGUGGGGAAUAUUGCACAAUGGGCGCAAGCCUGAUGCAGCCAUGCCGCGUGUAUGAAGAAGGCCUUCGGGUUGUAAAGUACUUUCAGCGGGGAGGAAGGGAGUAAAGUUAAUACCUUUGCUCAUUGACGUUACCCGCAGAAGAAGCACCGGCUAACUCCGUG
rnacentral:rRNA from 1 species